GUGCCCUUUGCAGAAAGAUGUCCAUGGUGUGCAGAGCUCUUCCCUGUGGGAGACAUUGCUGUCUUAUUAAUGAAUGGGUACAGGACGUCACUGGGACUGUCAUCAAAUAUUCUGGUUCUCUCUCUCUCUCUUUUUUUUUUUUUUUUUUGAGGCAGAGUGUCGCUUUGUUGUCCAGGCUGGAGUGCAGUGGCGUGAUCUCAGUUUACUGCAAACUCAGUCUCCCGGAUUCAAGCGAUUCUCCUAUCUCAGCCUCCCAAGUAGCUGGGACUACAGGAGUGACCCACCACGCCUGACAUGGUUUCACAAUGUUGGCCCAGCUGCCAGAGAAGUUUAACCAGAAGGGGCCACCAGGCCAGCAAAGGCGAGAUGCCCAUGUGAUAUGGGGGCUGGGAGGUGGGGACCAGUACGGAAGGAAAUAAGACCCUAAGCCAUGGAAGAAACCUCCUUGCCGGAGAUAUUGCGUUCCCAAUGGCCUCCAUGUGGUUGACUCCAGAAGGACAGACCACGUCUGCAAUGGGCAUUUUACACUCACCGGGAGUCAGCACGUCCCUGGCCAGGUCAGGAGGCUGCAGCCCGUGACAUGGUUCAGCCGCCCUCUGUAAGGCCUCCUGACCUCAGAAAUCAAUAAAAUAGAAAUAGGAAAAAUAUGUAGAAAAUCAAUAAAUGAAAAGUUGGUUCUUUGAGAAGAUCAGUAAAGCUGAUAAACCCUAACCAGCCUGAUAAGAAAAAAAAGACACAAAUUCCUAAUAUCAGGAAUGAGAGAGGUGACAUCACUACAGCAUCUACAGAUAUUAAGAGGAUAAUUAUGGAAUGUUUUCAACAACUUUAUGCCAA
rnacentral:lncRNA from 10 species